CCUACGGGAGGCAACAGUGGGGAAUAUUGCACAAUGGGGGAAACUCUGAUGCAGCAACGCCGCGUGAAGGAAGACGGUUUUCGGAUUGUAAACUUCUGUUCUUAGUGAAGAAGAAUGACGGUAGCUAAGGAGCAAGCCACGGCUAACUACGUGCCAGCAGCCGCGGUAAUACGUAGGUGGCACGCGUUGUCCGGAAUUACUGGGUGUAAAGGGAGCGCAGGCGGGAAGCCAAGUCAGCUGUGAAAACUACGGGCUUAACUUGUAGACUGCAGUUGAAACUGGUUUUCUUGAGUGAAGUAGAGGUUGGCGGAAUUCCGAGUGUAGCGGUGGAAUGCGUAGAUAUUCGGAGGAACACCGGUGGCGAAGGCGACCAACUGGGCUUUAACUGACGCUGAGGCUCGAAAGUGUGGGGAGCAAACAGGAUUAGAUACCCCUGUAGUC
rnacentral:rRNA from 1 species